CAGGGUUGGGCUCUCGCCGUGAGUCGACGAAGGGAGCGCGGGCGCGCGCCCGCGUCCGCGCACUGAGAGUCGCCUCGGCCGCUCGCUUUCUCGACUCCCGCCUCGCGCCUCGAUCCUGUUCCGCCUCCCUCGGCCCUCCUGCCCGCCCCCACUCGUCGGCCCUCAGGUUCCUGGAAAGUGAAAAUUUCAUUUCUUUGUGGACAGCUCAGAGACCUAAUAGGAUGGGGUCUUAGAGAAACAUCUUUUGAGCCACAGACUUCUUUGUUACCAGAAGGAAAAUGAAAGAAGAAAUUUAAAUACCACUUGAAGAGAGGUAAAUAAAUGAGAAAUGGGGCUGAGAGGGCGGGUAUUUUUUUAAAAAUUCAUUAAAUGGAAAAAUCCACAAAUGUUAAUUCUGGUAGAUUUCUUAGAAAUUACAUCAGAGGAGCAUGCUUGGUCUUCCCACCCUCAUUAGGCCUCAGUGACAGGUACUUGAACAACUGAGCCCCUAAUGUGCAUGCUCCCCCACCCCUGAAGCCAGUCUCUGCCCUCCUCUUCCCUCCUCUUGCCCCUGGAAGCUGAUCGCCACCAACUGGCCUCUGGGUGGAUUUGGCCAAUGGAAGCACCUGUAGAGGGAAGAGAGUGAGGUUAGGAUAUUUCUUCCUGCUGUCUCCGUGCUUCCCUGCAGAGAGUGUGAAGAAAUGACCCUGAAAAGCCUCUGGCAGAGGAUUCUUCUUUCAGGAUGGUGUCGCCUCCUCAGCAGCCCAUCCUCCUCCCCUGGACUCAAGCUCUCAUUCCAGUAACACUCCUUCCUCCUUCUCCAUCUUCAGGGGGAGGUUUGCCAGUCGGUGGGUUCUAAGCAUAUCUCGCUGAUUCCCCCCAACCCUGCCGACACCUCUGUAGGUCGUCCCUUCAUUAAAAUCUCUCCAUUUGAACUAUCUGAGUUUAAUUCCAUUUCCUCCUGGUAUCUCAGUGAUACACGGUAUCAGUACAAAAAUCUCGCUUCACCUUCAGAACCAACAGAUUUGAGACAUUUUAUCCUCUGUGGAACCAUUAGUUAUUUUGUCAUUGGUUGUAUCAGAAAAAAAAAUCAGGAAUGCAAAUCCUUCUUUAUUACAGAUUCAGAUUUGCAUAUUACCAAUGUUAUAUAUUUUAAACAAAACUAUUCAUCAUAAGUUUUAAAAAUUAACUACUGGAGUAGUUAAUGAAUCUGAAUGUAAUUAUGUAGCUUUCAUAAUAUUAAAGUAAAAAUACUAAAAGAAGUAUUUCUUAAAGAAGCAAAUGCUCAAUCUCCAAGUAAAUUUUAUUCUAUGCUCUUCCGGUAUAAGAAUAUGUUAAUAUCUUGAAAAAUAUCAUAUUAUUUUGUGAACUCAUAAAGCUAUUUUGAGUUUUUGUAAAAUGAAAACCUUACCAAAAUGUAUUUUAUUGUUGGAAAGCUUGACCGUUACUGCUGUUUAAUUUUUUGAGCUUGUAAACUUUAUUUGUGCAUGUUUUCAACAAAGAAGGAUUUUAUUGUUAUUACAUAAAACAGGUGAUUUCUAGAUUUUAAAAUCACAAAUUGAAAGCAAGGCACAAUAAUAUAUAUUUCAAGAUAUAGGUACUUAGGAGGCAUCCUUUUAGUCAUCUGUUCAAUGUAGCCAUCUAUUUUACACCUACUGUCUACUAUUGUUUGAGGUCCUUGCCAAAGUAUUGCAGGCUAGUUAGGAAACAUAAAACAAUUAGAAAGUAAUCUAUGACAAGUAAGCUAUCUAUAAAUGGCAAUGAAGGGUAGAACAAAUUCAAUGAAAAUAUCUAUUUAAUCCUAGUGUUUACUGGUCUAGAAGAAUAGGCUGAGUAAAUUAGUAUUUCUCUGGCUGUUGUGGUAACACAUUGCAUGCUAUAACAGUUUUAAGUAAUUACAGGUGCAUUGAAAUUUAUCUAUGGCUUUGUCAUCAUAUUCUAAAAUGUCAUGAGUACUUUUUUCUGACCUCAAUUACUAUGAAAUUGGUUUCCAAUAUUUAAUUAACCAAGAAUAUCAAGUCUAUAGGGUAUUAUUAAGGUGAGACUUCUGUAGCCUUUUCAAUAAAGACCAGAAUUUUGGAGUGCCUUGAACCUUAAUCAUUGAUCUUUAAUUCUUAUUAAGUCAACUGCCCACCUUUUAAAGACUGAGGCCCAGGAAGAGUAAGUUUCUCUGAGACAAUGCAUACAGUACAGUGCUUCUUGGGUAUUGGCUCUAAGACCAGAUGCAAAGAAAGGCUAAAAUCCCAUUUCAUUGUUCAUUAGGUGAGAACCCUUUGUUAAGCUGUGUAACCUCUGUGCAUAGUUUCCUCAUCAGCAAAGUCAGAAAAAGUAUGUACCUGAAGGACUGAUUGUAAGGCUGGGAUGAGAGAAUCCAUGUGAUCAGCCCUCACCAACAGGUGCUGCCCAGUUCAUGAGUGCUGCUGCUGUCCUGCCCAAGUACCCAGCUUGCAGAGUGCCAGAGUUAGAGUCCCAGGGGUGUUCUCCACAGCUGCAUGCUUGAUCCAGGCCUAUCAGGUGUUAUUUGUUGACGGAACCAGGCAUCAUCAGCAAACAAAACUGACAAAGCUUCCUGCCCUCUGUGGAAGGCAUCUGAGGAAGAGACUGGAUUUUGUAGCAACAUGUUAUUCUCAUUAUAAACUUUAUCAUUGGAAUACUAAAGCCAAAUCAUCCCCCAUCUCCUUGAUCAGGAUACCCACUUAAUCUAGGCAGCUACACAAUUGUGAGAGCCUUUGUUUUUUUCUGCUGAAACAUCCUUAAAAAGAUACCUCACAACCCAAGAUUUGGCUUUUCUUAAAUACGAUUUUUAAUUUUUUUCAUUUCUAUCUAGAGAUUUAAUUGGAAAUGGAAAAUCAUCAAUUUUCCAAUUAAAUGUCUGUUCCAAUCAACAUUAUACCUUUUAGGUUGUCAUUGUCAUUUUUAAGUUUAAGCAACUUUAAGGAUUUUGAAUCUGGCUGCCUGUAAAUUAAAGGUGAAAGUAAUCAUUGUGUUGGAUUGGAACAUUUUGUCAAUUGAGAGUGGUUUCCUUGUUCUUAGUGUAUGAAAAGUUUAUUUUUCUAAUGU
rnacentral:lncRNA from 1 species